rnacentral:rRNA from 1 species
GUAUACAGCCAUAUCUCCCUGAACUUGCCUGGUCUCAUCUAUCACAGAAGCUAAGCAGGGUCAAGCUGGUUCGUACUUGCAUGGGAGUAAACUUAAUCUACUGCAUGUA